GACGAACGCUGGCGGCGUGCUUAACACAUGCAAGUCGAACGGAAAGGCCCUGCUUUUGUGGGGUGCUCGAGUGGCGAACGGGUGAGUAACACGUGAGUAACCUGCCCUUGACUUUGGGAUAACUUCAGGAAACUGGGGCUAAUACCGGAUAGGAGCUCCUGCUGCAUGGUGGGGGUUGGAAAGUUUCGGCGGUUGGGGAUGGACUCGCGGCUUAUCAGCUUGUUGGUGGGGUAGUGGCUUACCAAGGCUUUGACGGGUAGCCGGCCUGAGAGGGUGACCGGCCACAUUGGGACUGAGAGAGGGCCCAGACUCCUACGGGAGGCAGCAGUGGGGAACAUGGCACAAUGGGCGGAAGCCUGAUGCAGCAACGCCGCGUGCGGGAUGACGGCCUUCGGGUUGUAAACCGCUUUCGCCUGUGACGAAGCGUGAGUGACGGUAAUGGGUAAAGAAGCACCGGCUAACUACGUG
rnacentral:rRNA from 1 species